CUCAAGACUGAUUUUUCUAAGGUUUUAUGGACUGAUGAAAUGAGAGUGAGUCUUGAUGGGCCAGAUGGAUGGGCCCGUGGCUGGAUUGGUAAAGGGCAGAGAGCUCCAGUUCGACUCAGACGCCAGCAAGGUGGAGGUGGAGUACUGGUUUGGGCUGGUAUCAUCAAAGAUGAGCUUGUGGGGCCUUUUCGGGUUGAGGAUGGAGUCAAGCUCAACUCCCAGUCCUACUGCCAGUUCCUGGAAGACACCUUCUUCAAGCAGUGGUACAGGA
rnacentral:lncRNA from 1 species